rnacentral:ncRNA from 2 species
CCUCGGCACCAGGGGUGCUUGUUCUGUGGUGGCCCUAGCUUUCUUUGCUAGAGCUUCUCACAAGAACAGGCUGAGAGAGUCCCUUCGCACCUGAACAGGAUAAUUCCUGCGUAGGGAGCGUGCCAGACUUCUUUU